rnacentral:ncRNA from 1 species
CCUGCGCAGCCAUUUCACGAUCUGAUAAGCCACCACAAAUUUGAAUAAUUCGAUCUGAUAACGUCGAUUUACCGUGGUCAAUAUGUGCGAUAAUGGAAAAGUUACGUAUGUUUUUCAUUCUGAAAUUAUUUUUUCUCUAUUGCUUUGCUCUAUAAAUCUGGCUUUGGAGUCAUUCAUGGACACAAAGCGAAAACUCUAUAUUGCAGGAGUUAUUAUUGAUGACGCAUUCUACACACUAGAGACAUUAUACUCAAAGAAACGUUCAUCAAACACAAACAUUUAUGCUAAGACUUGCAUUUAUUUGUAAUUUUUUUGCGGGUAAUUUCCAGAUAUAGAAACGCGUUAAUUUAAGAUAGAUAUUAUUACAAAAGCAACAUGGCAAAAAAAUAAUGGGGCAAAUGCCCCAUCUGUUUAAUCAACCCAUUAUUUUUGAAAUUGAACGCUAAGUUCAUUCGGUGGAAGCCCUAUUUGCAAUACAAUAGGUUCAAAACCUUCAUCUUUACUCCACCAGGUCGCCACUUUUUUAGCAAAUAAGAAACCAAGGACACCGCCCAUAAGUCCACUGCAAAAAAUAGCAAAUUCACUGGAAAACCAAAGACCCGCAAUGCCUGCAACAAUAAAUAAGCCAAUAAGUGGCGUUAAAUACACUAGCAUUGCGGAAAGAAGUAGAUUAUUUUCAGGAAUACCCACUUCCACUUUUUGCCCUUCGACUAAAGGUUGUGCGACGGGGAGUUCGAGUUGAUGAACUGUCUCAGGCCCUAUUUUAUUUAAUAAAUAAGAGCCACAUGCAGCCCGAGCUUGGCAACUACCACAGCCAGAAGACGAUCCAUAGCGUAAUAACGCUCUUCCUUCAUGCCAAUGUAUAACUGUUGCCCACUCUUUAACCAUAAC